rfam:Flavobacterium micromati strain DSM 17659 genome assembly, contig: Ga0131131_107
ACUUAGCCGCGAUGGCAGUGGCAUCCUUGCUGGGCGGGGUUCGCCCAGCAAGAUAUAACGUACAGCGGGACAACUC